CCUUUAGUGAACUUUCAACAAGUUGUAAAUUCAUUGGAUUUUUAUCUAAUAGUUAAAUUGCUAAGUGUAUCUGCUAUCUGAAUAACGGAUAGGGGUAUGAACCAUGUGAAGAAGUACAAGCUCAAGAGCUUAGACUGCAGUUAACCUUUUAAUCCUGCCAAAGAUAUCAGGAAGAAUGGCCUCAUAAAUUUUGCGCCAACGUGAAUUCUGAAGUAGGAGUACCAAGAAGAUACAAGAUAAGGUUAAAAAUCAGCUACUUGUUAUAUAACAUUUCCCUGGAAUGAUGUCAGUCUUUGAGGAGCUUGUGUUUAUGUGGAUAUGCAGCUGCGCCAUCUAUCUUUCAAAUGGAACACUAACUUUGCCAAACCAUAAUGUCGGGCUAAAUCACGGACCAAUUACUCAAGUGCUUAUUGAUGAGCAUAGUGGACGGGUGUUCCUUGGGGGUAGGAAUACAAUAUUUCAGUUGACAGUCGACUUACACCAAGAACGGGCCGUAGUUUUAGGCCCCGUAUCUGAAAACAAACAAUGCCUUCCAUUCCCAGCUCCAUGUAAUUUUACACGCAGUGAGCAGGACACUCAAGUCAAAAUAUUAGAACUCCAUAAAAAGCUCAGGAAGUUGCUUGUUUGUGGGGAUAAGCAUCAGGGAAUGUGUACAGUCCAUGAUAAAAAUAACAUUGAACAUAUGAACUCAAUGAGUAAUGAAAAUCCAGUCAACUUUUUAGCUAGUCAGAAAUCAGUUUUUGGAUUUUUCGGAACAGGAACUUCAUUAGGCGGGCAUGAUGAUAUAUUAUAUUUGGGACAGACUUAUGAUGGAAGACCAAUGGAGUAUGCUUCUUUAGCAGUAUCAAGUAGGACAUUGCGUCAGUUACAAAAUGGAACAUACAUCACCAGGUUUCACAUGCAUGAUAACACAUUUGGUUUUAGUGGUCGUGAUAUCCAUCCAACAUUAAAACAUAACUUUAUAGUGGAUUAUAUCUAUGGUUUUGAACACCAAGGAUUUGUAUACUUUUUGACAAUCCAGCCUUACAAAGCAGAGGACAGAGACACCGAUCUGUUGGGAACCCCUAGUCAAGAUGUACAAACACGUCUAGUGAGAAUAUGUAAAGAAGACCCCUUCUACUGGUCAUAUGUGGAAGUGCCUCUUGACUGUUCAGUUGAUGGUGAAAUUUACGACAUAGCCCAAGGUGGUUAUCUUGGUACUUCAGGAACAAAAUUAAAGGAGAGUUUUAGUAAUAAUUAUUCCGGAGACAUUUUAACUGUUUCGUUUGGUAAAAAGUUGGAUGAUUCGAGGAAGACUGAUACAUCCAAAGGAUCAGCAAUAUGUGUCUUUUCCAUGGAUAUUAUUCGGAAAAAGUUUGCCAGUGUACAGAGGACAUGUUUUGGAGGAACAGGGGAAACCAUUCCAUGGAUUGUUGGUGGAAACAAACCAUGUGAGUAUAAGAGCUACAUCUUACCAACAAUUACUGAGACUUGGUGUGGAGGUAUGGACAGAGGAGGAUCUGUAAAUAGUGGCAUACAAGGUGGUAGAUUAAGAAAACGAGCGAGACUCACUGUUACCUCUACUGUGACUGGCAUUGUGACAUCACAGUAUAAUAGACGCACAUUUGCUAUGCUGGGGACUCAAGAUGGGAAAUUGCUCAAGGCUUUCAUAGACAAAGAUACAGAUGGACCAAGCAAUGAGGCUUACAUGACCUACUCUAUUGACCCUGCCUACCCUGUUGAGAGAGACAUGGCAUUGAGUCCAGGCAAUGACAGUUUAUAUGUGCUCACGGGACCUAUGGUCACAAAAUUCCCCGUCCAUUCAUGCAAGGUUUAUAAUAGUUGUGCCUCAUGCGUGACCACCCCAGACCCCCUAAACUGUGGAUGGUGUGAAGAUAUGUGUACAAGGAAGGCAGAAUGUGGACAUAAAAUAUGGACACAGGAAAGCUGUAAACCAGUCGUACAUGGGUUUGAACCAAAAAGUGGACCAUUAUAUGGUGGUACCCAAGUGACCAUAUAUGGGGAUGGAUUCGGUCAUAAUGCUCAGAUUGAGGUCACAGUUGCUACGGUGAUAUGCAACCUCAAUAAAACAGCACAUAGAACCACCAAUCAAAUUGUGUGUUCUACUGGACCAGCAGAUGAAGAAAUAGAUAGAGAAGUUCGUGUGAAAGUGGUUGACAAAACUAAAACUGACUUUACAUACAACAUUGAAGGCUUCGGGGACUCUGGGAAAGAAGCAUUUGACUACAAGAGACCAAGUGUUAAAGGGUUUUCACCGACCAUGGGCCCAGUGUCUGGGGGAACAAACAUCACAGUGACCGGGGAGAAUCUAAACAUUGGGUCUUCUCAGCAGGUCACUCUGGGACUAGGCGUGGCUGAAUGUAUCAUCUACAACAUAUCCUCCAGUUUAAUCCAGUGUACCACCCCACUAUGGGUAAAUGCCUCCUCUGGCAGUGCUGUAACUGAAGGAAAAGUUAGUGUGGUUAUAGACAGGACACCUCUCCCCUUCGAAGGAACAUUUACAGUCACCCCUGACCCUACCAUAUCACAUGUCAAGCGAUUUUCAAGUUUUAGCAGUGGAGGAAUUCCUAUUCAAAUCCUUGGGAGCAACUUGCAUGUGGUACAACACCCUAGAAUGGCCAUCUUUACUCCCUCAGAUCCAGUACAUCAUGUUUCAGAUUGUCAACCUAACUUCAACGGGACAUUUAUGAUAUGUCCUGCUCCAAGCAUUAAACCUAUGUCACCUAGGCAACCAAGCAGCUCUAGAGCACCAUACACAACCAAUCCUGUCAGGAGAGACAGAUCGAUCAAUAUACCUAGGCAAGACCAAGUGAUCAACAAUGCAAGGAAAGACCAAUCAAUCAAUAAGACCAAUGGACCCAUAAUGUAUCAGAUGUACUUCAUAAUGGAUGGUGUAGAAAAUUUGAGAAACUUUUCUAGCAUUGCUCCAGACAUGAGUUUGAUCAUGUACUACCCUGAUCCUGUCUUCUACAAGUUCCCAGAAGAGGGGAAUAUCAGACGGUUUCAUCUUGAGGAAACACACCUUGAUAUAAAGGGAGCAAACUUGAACAAUGCAGCCAUAAUUAGUGAUUUCACAGUGACCUUAGGUAACGAUAGAUGUAUUGUGACAUCACUCUCUCCAACAGUCUUGAUGUGUCAUCCAAGCAGACGUCCAAGUCAAAUUUCCCAAAAUGAACCAAAGCGAAAAGUUGAGGUGAUUGUUGGUAACCUUCACUUUAACAUUGGCCACUUGGAAUACUAUUCAGGGGGCAGAGGUGUCCAUUUAGCUGCUGUGGUGGUACCUGUCAUUGUUUUUCUUAUCUUCUUCACCAUUUUGAUUAUCAUAUGCUGUGUCCUACACAAAAAUAGAAAGUGGCCCUUUAAGCCAACACUUAAUGACCUGCAAGUAGUAGAGUUCCAUGCCAAUAUUGAAAAUAUGUAUGAGACAACGGUACCUGGACGUAGGGCUAACAUUCCUACAGUUGGUGCUCUGAGGUCAGUAGUUGGAGAGGAGGAGCCUCUCCUUGGUGAUGAUGACAUCAGACUGAUGAUUGACAGGGAGGAUUUGAUACUGGGGGAGGUUCUAGGAAAAGGUCACUUUGGUUGUGUUUACAAAGGAUCACUGAGAGUGCAAGAUGAGAAGGCAGACAGAAUGGUUGCUGUCAAAACGUUACAUGAGGAUAAUAAUAUCACUGAUGAGGCAUUGAGGACAUUCCUGAAAGAAGCAUUGAUAAUGAAAGACUUCAACCACCCCCAUGUUUUAACCCUGCUAGGACUGUGUCUCAACCCUGGGGAAAUGCCACUGGUUGUGUUGCCAUUCAUGUCACAUGGUGACGUCUUGAGUUAUAUCAGAGAUGAGAAAAAUAGUCCCACAGUAAAGUCUCUGUUAGAAUUUGGUGUUGAGAUAGCAUCUGGUAUGUCAUAUCUUGCCAAGUUGAAGUUUGUCCAUAGAGAUCUGGCAGCCAGGAACUGUAUGUUAGAUGAGGAUAUGAAGGUGAAGGUGGCUGACUUUGGUCUAUCUAGAGAUGUCUAUGAGAGGGACUACUAUAGUAGUGAUAACAAGAAGACAAAACUCCCGGUGAAAUGGCUGGCCCUAGAGAGUAUGGAGAAGGGGGUCUACAGUGAAAGAUCGGACGUGUGGUCAUAUGGAGUUUGUCUCUGGGAGCUGAUGACCAGGGGAGUGUCCCCAUAUCCCGAAGUAGAUGGCUGGGAUAUGGUCCGCUAUCUCAAGUCAGGGAGGAGACUGCCUCAACCGACAUACUGUCCAAAUGAAUUAUACCGUAUAAUGUAUGAUUGCUGGAAUCCAAAACCGAAAGCCCGUCCAACCUUUGAUGAACUUCAUGACAUGGUAGCUAAUUUGAUAACAAAUCUGCAGAGGGACACUGAACGCUUCAGGGUUAAGACUGAUGUGACAUACGUUAAUAUACCAUCACUUACAUCUGACCAUUACAGCAUGGCUGGAGCAACACAGUCUGAAGAUGAGGCUGACUAAACUUAAUGAUUCCAACACGAAGUAUUGGCAUAAUUGGCAACCAAGAUUCCAGAUUUUUAUUUGCCUGGAAAGGAACAAUUUGGUAAUAAUAUGUAUUACGAUGAUGUUCGUCUCCUGACUCCGGACCCAAAAAUUUACUGUAGCUAUUUAUACAAGCUGACUCAUUUGAAUCACGUUCCCCCAAAGUCAUGAUGUCAUAUAAUUGGCAAGGAAUACUGUAGGCCAAUCACCCUUGCCUUUCACUAAAAUAAGAGCUCAACUAUGUCAACACAAUUUUUAUAAUAACAGAUACUGAGUCAGAAAAAUCAAAGUGAAGAGAUGUGAAGUUUAUCCUUUAUUUCACAUUAUAGUAAACUUAAUGUAUUGUUAUCAUGUGUAUAUGUUCAUAUGUGU
rnacentral:misc_RNA from 1 species